CCUACGGGAAGGCAGCAGGGGGGAAUCUUAGACAAUGGGCGCAAGCCUGAUCUAGCCAUGCCGCGUGAGUGAUGAAGGCCUUAGGGUCGUAAAGCUCUUUCGCCUGUGAAGAUAAUGACUGUAGCAGGUAAAGAAACCCCGGCUAACUCCGUGCCAGCAGCCGCGGUAAUACGGAGGGGGUUAGCGUUGUUCGGAAUUACUGGGCGUAAAGCGCGCGUAGGCGGACAUUUAAGUCAGAGGUGAAAUCCCAGGGCUCGACCCUGGAACUGCCUUUGAUACUGGGCGUCUUGAGUUCGAGAGAGGUGAGUGGAAUUCCGAGUGUAGAGGUGAAAUUCGUAGAUAUUCGGAGGAACACCAGUGGCGAAGGCGGCUCACUGGCUCGAUACUGACGCUGAGGUGCGAAAGUGUGGGGAGCAAACAGGAUUAGAUACCCUGGUAG
rnacentral:rRNA from 1 species